rnacentral:misc_RNA from 1 species
AUACAUAUUUGAAUGGUUGCCAAGC